rnacentral:rRNA from 1 species
GUUGAACGCUGGCGGCAUGCCUUACACAUGCAAGUCGAACGGUAACAGGUCUUCGGAUGCUGACGAGUGGCGAACGGGUGAGUAAUACAUCGGAACGUGCCUAGUAGUGGGGGAUAACUACUCGAAAGAGUGGCUAAUACCGCAUGAGAUCUACGGAUGAAAGCAGGGGAUCGCAAGACCUUGUGCUACUAGAGCGGCCGAUGGCAGAUUAGGUAGUUGGUGGGAUAAAAGCUUACCAAGCCGACGAUCUGUAGCUGGUCUGAGAGGACGAUCAGCCACACUGGGACUGCGACACGGCCCAGACUCCUACGGGAGUCAGAAGUGGGGAAUUUUGGACAAGGGGCGAAAGCCUGAUCCAGCAAUGCCGCGUGCAGGAUGAAGGCCUUCGGGUUGUAAACUGCUUUUGUACGGAACGAAAAGCCCCGGGUUAAUACCCUGGGGUCACGACGUUACCGUAAGAAUAAGCACCGGCUAACUACGUGCCAGCAGCCGCCGUAA